rnacentral:sRNA from 1 species
UUGCAGCCCGACUUGAGCGGAAAUCCUUUUUUUGCCAAAGCAAAAAAAGAUUGGGAGCGGAAGGCGGAAAAGCU